CUGGGAUUCCUUCAAAUAAUUCAAAGAGCUGGGACUUCGCCAUCAUAAAUCUAACAUUCUUACCUGCCAAAAAUCUCUGUGGCGGUGUCCUAGGCAAGCCAGUGAGCAGAGUCACGAGAAUAGAUAAGCUUUUGCCCGCUGGGUUUGCGGCGUUCUUCUCACUUCCUUCCCACCCGUCCCAGCCUUUGGUCAUCGUCGAAGGCAUUCUCCUGGGUUCCCUGCCACCAGCUUCUCCAGACCUCGGCCUAAACGUUCAGUUGCAAAAAGAUCUUAAAGCCCCGUCUCCAUGGUUUCCAUGCACCCAGAAGGAUCUUUCUGGCCGCAUCCGAGCCCCAGGGUGGUGGCAGAGCCCACUUCCAGCCUCCUCCUUCCUGCCCGCCCCAGACCAUCCCCCGCUCCCUGCCGCUGAGCCCACCUCCUUCACCACCGGCCCUCUGGCCCCUGCUCUGCCAGGACUCAUCCCUCCCGCCUCCCUCCUCAUCCGUCCAGGGCCAGCCCCUCCUGCGGGACUCAGCUCACCGCCUGCGGGAAGCGCUCCAAAAUGGCCAUUUGAGCUUUCGCUUGUUGUGUUCAGUGCCCUUGGGUCCAGGGACCUGCAGCUUAAACAUCUCCCGAGGGAAAAAUGUCUGGUUUUCUCUCCGCCCGUGGGCCAGGCAGUCGCCUGCUGUGCAGAGCAGAGGAGGAAAUGGGGGCAGCGGGGGAAGAGUUUGACCUCUUCUUAAACAGCUUUCCAAGGAUGGUCUUCGACCCCCACGUCCAACGGCACAUGGGGCUGCCCUUCGCGAGGCUUUGGGGGUUCUGGGGUGCACCCUGGGCUUCCCCUUUCUCGCUCAGAUUUAGCAACGAGCUUCCCACAUCUGUCAAGUCAAUUACUCUGCGCCCGUGGCUGCGUCUUCCAAAGUGUGGCUGCAACUGACGCCUCUCUCUCUUUCUUUAUCCUCACAGUCAUCUGCCUUCCUGUCUUCCGAGCGAGCGCUCUUCUGUGCUGUUGAUGGAUUUUGUGAGCCUGGAUCCAACCUGCCUUUAACCAGAACCCCAAGGGACCGCCGGCCCUUUGCUGCGGAGUGCUUUCUGCCCUGAGUGAAUCUGGCCGCCCGGUCACUGUGGCUGCGGCCGUGGAGGGUGUGUCUCUGGACAGACAUGGACAUGGCUCUUGACUGAUGGCCUGAGUGGCUUUGCUGCCUGAGGUGUGGAGUGGUCACAGGUGGUGGGGGAAGGAGGCCACACAGAGUUGGGACUUAACCGGAAGACCACAGGGAGCUACCAGAAGGUUCCAGCAGAGGAAUGGUUCCCUUUUUGGAAGGACGUCUCUGCUCGCUGAGUGCAAAGGGAAUGGCUGGGGUGGGGUCGAGGGCGCGUCGGGAAGCCCAGUCCCCAGCAGGGCCUGGAGGGCCCAGAGGCUUGCGUGGGGUCAUGCAGGAUCCAUGAGGUCAUCGGCGGGUAGGACCGCUGAGAUCGGAGAGGGAGUCACUCAGAAGAAGGAGGUCCAGGAAUCUGGGCUGUGGGCCCGUUUCCAGCUCAGGCAUCCAUGCAGUGACCUGUCCCGAGACGGGAACCCUGGGACAGUUCCCAGGACUUGUGCAUCUUCCCUGCUUCGGAAAAGCAGCAACGAGCAAGACCUCACUGCUGAUCCCUUCUGAAUGUACCAGCUGGCAUCCGCCACCCCAGACUCCCGUCCACCCCACUCCCUCCCCCUCCUCCUUGGCAACCACGAGUUUGUUUCUGUGCUGUAGACAGGUUCAUUUGUGCCAUAUUUUAGAUUCCACAUAUAAGUGAUCUUGUAAGGUAUUUGUCUUUCUCUUUUCCAACUUAAUUUCGUUUAGUAUGAGACUCUCUAGCUGCAUCCAUGUUGCUGCAAAUGGCAUUAUUUCAUUCUUUUUAUGGCUGAGUAAUAUUCCAUUGUGUAUCUGUACCACAUCCUGGAAGAUAAUAUGAGAAAAAUCGUGCAUAUAUAUGUAUGACUGGGUCAUUUUGCUGUACAGCACAGAUUGAGAGAAUACUGUAAUCAACUACACUUUAAAUUUUUUUAAAAAAACAGUAUAGCACAGCAAAAAAAAAAAAAAAAAAAAAAAAAAAAAAAAAAAAAAANAGGCUAGAAGAUGGCCCUUCCCAGAAACUCCACUUUGCAGACCUGAGGAAGGCGCGGGCACUCCCCAGAUCCUCAGCCCUUUCUCAGCACCACCCGCCGCCCGCCUGCCGCCCAGCUCCUCAGGCCAAAGUCCAUGGCACCCAAGACUCGCCCCAGCUACACGUGGGGACUUCAGCUGUCACUCGCCAGCCCUCCCUGCCCUGUGCUUACACACAGGCGUACCCCAGGCGUCGUGGCAGCCUGCACCCCCACCAGGUCCCCUUCACUUCUGAGCCCUGCGUGCUCGCUGUUCCCCAGUCUCCCCUUCCCAGGACCCAGGACCCCUUCCAAGCCCAGCACAUCCUGGGCCGUCGGAGAGCCUUCUCUAGCUGGAGGCGGAGCAGGUGACUGUGUCCCUCGCUUUGAGGACACAAAUGACACGUUCAGGUAACAGCAAAUGGCGGCACCCACCCUCCUGCUGCACCCAGACGUCACCCGGCUCCUAAGGGCCAGACCAGCUCAGAAGCGGCGGCGGCACCUCCUUACAAGCGCUGAGCCCGACUCGGCGCCCAGAAGGAGCCGGGGCUGAAGCAGACACAGCCUCUGUGGGCUGGGAGGGAGCAGACACACAUCUAAACCACGACGGCCCAGAGUCGGCCCCCAUCCCUGCUGCUGCAGCCCGAACGUGUCUCCAAAUUCACACGCAGAAGUCCUAACACCGGCCACCGAAGAAGGCCAUGUAUUUGGUUAGGGGAGGUCCCUGGGGUGGGUGGCCCUCGUCCAGUCCGACUGGUUCCUUCUGAGAGAAGGACGCCAUACAGAGCGGGGACCCUGGGAGGACACAGCGGGAGGACGGCCAUCUGCAAGCCAAGGGCAAGGCCUCAGACAACCCGGGACUGCCAGCACCUUGACCUGGGACUGCCAGCCUCCAGACCUGGGAGGAAACAGAUUUCCGUGGUGUGUGGUGCCUUAUUCUGGCAGCCCGAGCAGAUGCCCACCAGGGCUGUGACACAAGGGCAAACGGUGCAGAGGGAGAAAUCGGUCCCCACAGAAGGGGCCAGUGCCGGGCCGCUUAGUGGGCUCCUGAGCAGGGGGUCUCAUCCGCCCUCAUCCAGCCUCCCUGGGGGAACUGGCCCUCUGGGGCGGGUGUUGGGAGGAUGAGCUAAGAUGGAGCCAGCACACAGAGCAAGCCCUCAGCCAAGGGGAGCUUCGGUGGAGGAGUUGGGGUCCUAAAAGCUGAGCACACAAAGGCAGGUGGGAUUGCAGGGGCCGUGAGGGAUGAAAGGGCUUUCCCAGCAGAGGGGACCCCGUGGCCAGGGCUCAGGGUUGCACUGCUCUGGGGGCAGGGGAGCCGGGGCCUCUGCAAGGGAACCCCCAGGACGCCAGACUGGACUUCAUUCCCAAGAAGGAGCAAACGAGCCCCAGGUUUGCAAGGCAAGGACGUGACAUCAGGGAAGGGACACCUGACUGGCUGCUGGGAGAGAGGUUGGCAGAGAGGACGGGAAUGCAGAGAGCCGGGUGCAGGCUUCUCCUGGCACUUCCGUCCACUCCUCUUAAAUAUUCAUUUCAGUGUUUGCAGGCACAAACAUCGCAGGAGCCCAGGCAGCCACUGCCUCCAGCACUUAAAAGAUUUCUGUAGAAGUGGUUCCUGGAAGGGAGAGUUAAUGCCUCUGCUCCCUGGCCCUGAAAUGGGUUUCUGAGAAGCGGGCCCCACGGUUGCGUGCUGGCUAUGGGUGUCCAGGCCCCUCGCACCUCCUGGGGGGGGGCGGUUGUGCUGCAACUCGGGAGCUCGGGGUUCCAAAGAGAGGAGGGUCCUUGGGGAGUUCGGCUAUCAUCGGCUAACGACUAAACAAACGUGCCUGCCACGUCCUGUCCAUCCACCCGUCAACACACUGCGUUUAACCUCUGGUCCAAAAGGCGGGCGUGAGCCUGGCCCUGUGCAGGAACGGAACCAGGCUGAGUCACAGCAUUACCAUCCCCCGGCCACGUGCCCACGUACCCACGUUGUCUGGGAAGCAGACGCGGGGAAGGUUGCAGGUGGCUGGGAUGUCACCCAAGCACCUCUCCUAGGUGAUGGACAAGGAAACGGAGACUCAGACAAGGAAUGUGCUCAAAGGCUUCUGGUUCGUUAAUGCCCAUCAAUGACCCUGGAACUCAGACCCCAGGACCCCCGUCCAGGGCGUCCUAACGCCAGCGCCCAGCGGGGAGGCCCUGCCCAACAGAAAUACAAUGCAGGCCACAGAGAUGCCUUUAAACUUUCAAGGCCACAUUUAAAACGUGAAACGAACCAUGAUAGUAGGUGGCAUCCAUCGUAUGCCACCUGCAUGGACCCCUGUACGCGUCUUUCCUUUUGUUGCCCAAGUUGUGCCCUGCUGGGGCUUGGCGGGGACUAGCGCAGGGAGCGGGGGUCAGGCCCCAAUAGCAUCCCGUUCAAGGAAAGCCCACAGGGCGCCAGGCCGUCAAACCAUACACUUUGCACAAAAUCUGCACGUCUCUUCAGAGCGUGAGGCUGAUAGAGAAAUGUCCCCAUAAUGGAAGUGUGGGCCGCGGUGGACAUUGUCGCCGCCUACGGCACACAGAGGACUUUUUAUCCAGGCACCCAUUGGCAGGGCGCUUCUAGCUGACACAGGAGUCCCGUGGGCCGCUGGAAUCCCAGCCAUCUCCUGAGUGGCUGCACGGGGGCGGCAGCGCCAAGUCCUGGGAGGAAUGUGGAGACGGGAGCUGGAGGGGCUGGUGCUCGUGCGGGGAGGCGGGGGGCCAGGAGCGCCCCCCCCCCCCAGAUGAGCAGCACCCAGCAGUGCGUGAUGGCUGGAAGCAAGAUCUUAAUUCUCUGCUCAGGAAUUGAACCUGGGCAGCCUGGGUGAAAACCAGGAACCCUAGCUACUAGCUAGAGGCUAAAAGUAGAACUGCCCUGAUUCUUACCCCUUGUUGAAAACAAGGAUGUUUCAAGGCGGCAAAGACUGUGAAAAUAGGUAUAAAGUU
rnacentral:lncRNA from 1 species